AAGGGUUAACAGGGACUCACACGGACAGAUCGAAAUUGAAUAUAAUUUAUUGGAGCAACAGAUACACAAAUUCGUUUUGAUUGCCAGUGAUAAUGACUGUCUGCAAACCACGUGCAAAAGUUACCGAUGUAAUAGAUUACGAGCAUAUAGAUUACCUGGUGAGGUGGAGGGGCGAGCUCUGAGGGGGGCUCUUGCUUCUGGCACCAAGCAGCCGGCACCCGCUGGCUGCGACCUGCUUUGGGGACAGCAGCAGGUGAGGAGUUUGACUGGGGCGGUACACAUGUCAAAGCGUAAUGCAGGUGUCCUAAGGCGAGCUCGGGAAGGAUGGAAGCCUCUUGCAGAGGCAAAAGCUCACUUGAUCUUGAUUUUCAGUACGAAUAGAGACUGGGAAAGUGGGGCCACACGAUCCUUCUGGCUUUUGGGGUUUUAAGCAGGAGGCGUCAGAAAAGUUACCACAGGGAUAACUGGCUUGUGGUGGCCAAGCAUUCAUAGCAACGUUGCUUUUUGAUCCUUCGAUGUUGGCUCUUCCUAUCAUUGUGAAGCAGUAUUCACCAAGCGUUGGGUUGUUCACCCACUACUAGGGAAAGUGAGCUGGGCUUAGACUGUCGUGAGACAGAUUAGUUUUACCCUACUGAUGAUGUGUUGCUGCAAUAGUAAUCCUGCUCAGUACGAGAAGAACUGCAGGUUCAGACCCCUGGUGCAUGCGCUUGGCUGAGGAGACACUGGCACGAGGCUACCAUCUGCGAGCUUAUGACUGAAUGCCUCCAAGUCAGAAUCCCACCUAGAUGGAGUGAUAUGGCAGUGCUGCCAGCACCUUGAUGGGCUUGCGAUGGCUGGCCGCCCAGCCAAUGCGGAGCACUGCUCAUGACCGGGACCCCAGCGAGGUGGAUGGACACGGCACUGCCUCUUCUCUGUCGCACACUGCAUGUUUGUGGGACACCCGGCGCUGAAUCACUUGUAGAUGACCUGAUUCUGGGUCAGGGUUUCCUAUGUAGCAGAGCAGCUCCCUCGGUGCAAUCUAUUGAGAAUCAGUCCUCGACACAAGCUUUUACUUUCUUUAUUAUAUUUUUUGGGAAGACCAGUGAGACUGAUAUCCUAGUGAGAGUCUGCUACAGAACACCUGACCAGGAUAAAGAUACUGACGAGGUAUUUUUUCAACAGCUUGGAGAUGUCUCGCAUUCACUAGCCCUCGUCCUUGUGCAGGACUUCAACCUACCAGAUAUCUGCUGGAAGUACAACACAGCAGAGGGAGGGUGGUCUGGGAGGUUCGUGGAAUGUAUAGAUGGCAACUUCCUGUUGCAGCUGGUCAGUGAGCCUACUAGGGCUACUGCCCUGCUAGACCUACUGUUUACGAACAGGGAAGGGCUGGUGAAAGAUGUGGUGGUAGGAAGUCACCUUGGCCAUGAUAUGGUAGAAAUUUCAAUAUAUGGUGAAGUUAGGAGGGUCGUCAGCAAAACAUAUACCUUGGAUUUCUAGAGGGUUGAUUUUGGACUAUUCAGGAUGCUGGUUUGAAGAAUCUCUUGGGAAUCGGCCCUUAAAAAUAAAGGAGUCCAGGAAGGCUGGGAUUACUUUAAGAAUGAAAUUAUGAAGGCACAGGAGCUAGCCAUCCCCAUGCGCCGUAAAAUGAGCAGUCGGGGAAGUAGGCCAAUGUGAUUGAGCAGGGAACUUUUGCAAGAACUCAGGGGAAAAAAAAAGAGUCUAUCAACUCUGGAGAAAGGGGCAGGUCAAUCAGGAAACAUUUGAAGAUAUUGUAAGGUCAUGCAAAAAGAGAAUUAGAGAAGCUAAAGCUCAGUUAGAACUUAAUUUGGCCAUUUCUGUAAAGGAUAACAAAAAGUGCUUUUAUAAAUAUAUUAAUAACAAAAGGAGGGUCAGGGAAAAUCUCUGCUCCUUAUUGAAUGAAGGGGGGAACAUAGUAACAGAAGAUAAGGAAAAGGCUGAGGUACUUAAUACCUUCUUUGCCUCAGUCUUCAACAAGAAGACUGGCUGUCCUGAGGAUAGCUGGGCUCCUGAGUUGGUAGACAGGGGUGGGGAAAAGAAUACCCCUCCUGUAAUCCAGGAGGAAAUAGUUAGUGACCUGCUGUGCCAGCUGGAUCCCAACAAGUCCAUGGGUCCAGAUGGGAUUCAUCCUAGCGUGCUGAGGGAGCUGGUGGAAGAAGUGACUAAGCUGCUUUCUGUCAUUUAUCACUGAUCCUGGCUAACUGGGGAGGUCCCAGAUGACUGGAGGUUGGCCAACAUGACAUCUAUCUGUAAGAAGGGUCAGAAGGAGGAUCUGGGGAACUACAGGCCUGUCAACCUGACCUCAGUGCCUGGCAAGGUUAUGGAGCAGAUCAUCCUGAGUGCCAUCAAGCAGCGUGUAGAGGACAACCAGAGGAUCAGGUGCAGCCAACAUGGGUUUAGGAAAGGAAAGUCAUGCCUGACCAAUCUCAUCUCCUUCUAUCACUGGAUGACCCGUCUAGUGGAUGAGGGGAAGGCUGUGGACGUGGUCUACCUUGAUUUCAGCAAAGCCUUUGACAAUGUCACACAGCAUCCUCCUGGAAAAGCUGGCAGCCCUCGGCUUGGACAGGUGCACCCUUUGCUAGGUAAAAAACUGGUUGGAUGACUGGACCCAGAGAGUGGUGGUGAAUGGUUCUGCAUCCAGUUGGUGGUGGUGUCCUGCAAGGAUCAGUAAUGGUCCUGGUCCUGUUCAGCAUCUUUAUUGAUGACCUAACUUUGCAGAUACCGACAAGCCGAGGGGAAGUGUCAAUCUGCUGGAGGGCAGGAAGGCUCUCCAGAGGGAUUUGGACAGGUUGGGUUGAUGGGCCAAGGCCAGUGGUAUGAAGUUAAUAAGACCAAGUGCAGGGUCCUACACUUUGGCCACCAUAACCCCCUGCACCGCUACAGACUGGGGAAGGAGUGGCUGGAGAG
rnacentral:ncRNA from 1 species